GCCUAGUUAGCUUAGUUGGUAGUGCGUCUGCCUUGUAAGCGCUAGGCCGCGGGUUCGAUUCCCGUCCGGAGCG
rnacentral:tRNA from 1 species